ACGGCUCAGUAACACGUGGACAACCUACCCUAUGGAGGGGGAUAACCCCGGGAAACUGGGGAUAAUACCCCAUAGACUAUGAAUGCUGGAAUGCUUUGUAGUUGAAAGGUCCGCCGCCAUAGGAUGGGUCUGCGGCCGAUUAGGUUGUUGUUGGGGUAACGGCCCAACAAGCCUGUAAUCGGUACGGGUUGUGGGAGCAAGAGCCCGGAGAUGGAUUCUGAGACACGAAUCCAGGCCCUACGGGGCGCAGCAGGCGCGAAAACUUUACAAUGCGGGAAACCGUGAUAAGGGAACUCCGAGUGCCCGUAAAAUCGGGCUGUCCAUCUGUUUAAAUAACAGGUGAAGAAAGGGCCGGGCAAGACCGGUGCCAGCCGCCGCGGUAAUACCGGCGGCUCGAGUGGUGGCCACUAUUACUGGGCCUAAAGCGUUCGUAGCUGGUCUGUUAAGUCUCUGGGGAAAUCUACUGGCUUAACCAAUAGGCGUUUCAGGGAUACUGGCAGACUAGGGACCGGGAGAGGUGAGGGGUACUCCAGGGGUAGGAGUGAAAUCCUGUAAUCCUUGGGGGACCACCUGUGGCGAAGGCGCCUCACCAGAACGGCUCCGACAGUGAGGGACGAAAGCUGGGGGAGCAAACCGGAUUAGAUACCCGGGUAGUCCCAGCCGUAAACGAUGCGCGUUAGGUGUAUCGGUGACCACGAGUCACCGAGGUGCCGAAGAGAAAUCGUGAAACGUGCCGCCUGGGAAGUACGGUCGCAAGGCUGAAACUUAAAGGAAUUGGCGGGGGAG
rnacentral:rRNA from 1 species